rnacentral:miRNA from 1 species
UGUCUACGGCCAUACCAUCCUGAAUGUGCCCAUCUCAUCUGAUCUCGGAAGCUAAGCAGGGUCGGGCCUGGUUAGUACUUGGAUGGG